UUUUGGUGAAAUGAUUUUUGUUAGAUAUUCUUCAAAAGGUGGUGAUUCAAUUUUUUAUAUUCAAAAUCUAGAGUUUAGAUCUUAUUUUAAAUAGUUUAAAUAAUUUUUUAAUAAAAUUUUAACUAAUUUAAAUUCUUCUAUACAGAGAGAGAGAGAGAGAGAGAGAGAGUUGAGAUAGGAUACUUUUAGAAAUUAUGGCUUUCAACAUUUAGUCACAUACACCGACCGUCCCUAGCAUAAGUGGCAAAAGAGUUUGAUGGUUGGUACCCGAGACCCAAGUUCGAAUCCUAUUUGAUUCACAUUUCCAGCUAAGUUUAUUUUCUUAAUGAAAUAAAUAAAGCGGGUAGCAUGCUUUCUUUCUCUCAAAAAAAAAAAAAAAUAUUUAGUCACAUACACAAAAAUAUAAUAUACUAAUUAAUUAGUCACAUACACAAAAAUAUAAUAUAAUAAUUAAUUAGUUUAUUACUAAAAAUUAGGUUGCAAUAUUAUCCAUGGCACCAAACUAUUGGUGCUAUUAGUUUUUUAGCCAUUGGAUUGAGAAAUAUGUGGUUAGGAUGAUGUGGAUCCCUUAGGAUUGAGUGAAUGGUUGGUUGAAUAGUAUAACCUAACGGUUAAAAAUAAUUAUAGAUUAAAUCUAACGGUGAAAAUUCGAUAGCACUAAAUUCUUAGUGCUAUGGAUAGUAUAUAUCCCAGUCAGAUUCUAUUACUAAUAAGCUUUUUUACUUUGCACAUAUACCGUUUUAAAUUACUUUAUUUAAAUAAAUUU
rnacentral:lncRNA from 1 species